CAAUAGCGUAUACUAAUGUUGUUGCAGUUAAAAAGCUCGUAGUUGAACUUCUGGUAGGAGUGUCCCGGCCUUUUUGUUUUUACAAAUUGUAUGCUGUGUGACCUCUCUGGCCAUCCUUCUUCUUUGUUUAAAGAAGAUCUUUCACUGUAAAAAAAUUAGGGUGUUCAAAGCAAAAGUUUCUUUGGAAUAUAUUAGUAUGGGAUGAUAAGAUAGGCUCUAGAUGCUAUUUUGUUGGUUUGCACAUUUAGAGAAUGAUUAACAGGGACAGUUGGGGGUAUUCGUAUUUACAUGUCAGAGGUGAAAUUCUUGGAUUUUGGAAAGACGAACUACUGCGAAAGCAUUUACCAAGGAUGUUUUCAUUAA
rnacentral:rRNA from 1 species